GACGAACGCUGGCGGCGUGCCUAACACAUGCAAGUCGAACGGGACCAGAUGUCAGACAGCGGACAUCAGAAGACAGAUUACAGAUGGCAGAAUACAGAUUCAGAAGAGGGCGUGGAGGAAACCAAGCCUAGAUUCUAAUAUCCUAAGUCUGAGCAUUAGUAUCUGAACUCUGGUAUCUGGCGUCUGAUGUCUGGUCUAGUGGCGGACGGGUGAGUAACGCGUGAGCAACCUGCCUUACAGAGGGGGAUAACAUUCGGAAACAAAUGCUAAUACCGCAUAACAUAUAUUUACGGCAUCGUAGAUAUAUCAAAGGAGCAAUCCGCUGUAAGAUGGGCUCGCGUCCGAUUAGAUAGUUGGUGAGGUAAUGGCUCACCAAGUCUGCGAUCGGUAGCCGGACUGAGAGGUUGAACGGCCACAUUGGGACUGAGACACGGCCCAGACUCCUACGGGAGGCAGCAGUGGGGG
rnacentral:rRNA from 1 species